rnacentral:rRNA from 1 species
AGGGAGGCGUAGGCGGCUGAUUAAGUCAGCGGUGAAAGGUAGCAGCUUAACUGUUUUACAUGCCGUUGAUACUGGUUAGCUUGAGUUGACAGAAGGCAGAUAGAAUUCCUGGUGUAGCGGUGAAAUGCUUAGAUACCAGGAGGAAUACCGAUUGCGAAGGCAGUCUGCUGCAGUCACACUGACGCUGAGGCUCGAAGGUGCGGGGAUCAAACAGGAUUAGAUACCCCGGU